GCUCUGCAAUAGUUCCAGGAAGCUGUUGCAUUUCAUAAUAAAGUUUGUUUUCUAUCUGACUCUGCACCUAGAAUCAUUUAAGUGCAGGUCCACAGCCUGUAUUGAUACACAAGCAUAAAACUGCAGUCUUCUCUUUUCCAGUUGGACAUUUGAUUAUUUUAUUUCUUUAUGACUUUGGUUCUCACAAUUUCAUGAUGAAAAGCUUCUUCUUGUCUCUGCUAGUAGGUCUUCUUUUCAGUAAAGACUAUGUUAAACCCACAGAAAUAGAUGGGAAGAAGAAAUGGAAAGGUGAAGGUACCACAUCUAACCUGGAGAGCAUUGUAAUUGGAAGGUGUUAUGAAUAUAUUAGAAUUGUGAAUCCAAGUGUUGGUGAGAAGAACUGUACAGAGAUAUGGGAAGCUUUCAAAAAGGCUUUUAUUAAUAAAGAUCCUUGCAACAUUUUACCAUUGGACUAUGAGUUAUUUAUUAACCUGUCACUGCACACAAUUCCACCUAACAAGUCUCUGUUCUGGGAAAAUAACCAUCUGCUGGUCACUAGCUAUUCUGAUAGAACUCGUCGCUACAUGCCUCUGUGUGAUACUUUAAUUGGUUCAUUUGGAGAUUUCCUGAACUGGUGUGGACAAGCAAACGAUACUGGAUUUAAUUAUGAUUCCUGCCCUAACACAGAAGAGUGUGAAAAUAAUGCAGUAGAAUCUUUCUGGAAGAUUGCAUCAAUCACUUAUGCAAAGCAGAGCUCUGGGGUAAUAUACAUUAUGCUGAAUGGUUCUGCGAUAGGGGGUGCCUAUCCAGUCAAAGGUUUUUUUGCAGACUAUGAAGUGCCUAACUUCCAAAAAGACAGAAUUUCACGAAUUGAAAUCUGGGUCAUGGAUGACAUUGGGGGACCUGACUUGGAUUCCUGUGGGAGAGGCAGUGUACAAAUAUUAGAAGAAAGACUCAAAACUAUGGGUUAUGACAUCACCUGCAUUGACAAUUACAAAUCUGUACUGCUGUUAAAGUGCCUGGAUUAUCUUAAUCACUCUGAUUGUUCCAUUGUUUCGUCUGCACCUUCAACACAAAGAGGACUUGUAUCUCCCGCCAGAGGCGGCAGCUGGAGCAGGCUCAUUUACACGAUUUUUGUAGCAUUUGUUUUUGAGAUCUGCUUUAACCCACUGAAUUAAUGUACAUAAUUCAAUCCUUCUGUUUGCCUCCAUUGUCUGUAAAUUUGGCAUUAUCCUGUCUCUGAAUGUAAUUCCUCCCUUAAUUCCUGUGAUUGCAAGUCUGCCUAUUAGAACCUAUGUAACAUUGCCUUUGACUCCUCUGCUGCUGGAAGCCUCAUCCAUGCCUUCAUCUCUCCUUAUCUGGGUAACUCCCUCCUUGUCUGUGGCCUCACCCUAUUCCAGUUCUCCAGAAUCCCAUGAUGAAUGGUACUGCCCCUUUAUUCACCUGUCAGGAACCAGGGCCACACCACCCCUAUUCACAAAUAGCUUCAUUAUCUCCCUACCCAUUUUUGGAUCCGUUUUAAAACUGCCUUCUUGUUUUUGAAAGGUUUCCUUCUGCCUUAGGACCUUGGGCAUAAUUCUCCCCUGCCAUGCACCUUAUGUCAUCUGCACCUCUGAGAAGACUGGAAAACUGUUUUCAAUCCAGCUGCAGUGAGGAGACACCAAGCACAGUCUUGACUGUCUGCUGAGCUAGCUCCAUCUACAAUCUGAAGGUCCAGGGAGUCUGUCUAUCCCCAACCACUGAAACCUCCAGAUCACGCGGCACGUGGGCUGAUUUUUUGUGGCACACUGCUGCUAGCCGGGUUCCCAGCCGCCAGCCCCGUUCAGCCCGCUGCCAGCCUGGAAUACGAAACCCCAGACCAGCAGCGGGAUGAGCCCGCUGACAGUCUGGGGUUCUGUCUGUCACCCGUGCUGCCAGUCUGGCAGGUGAAACCUUUUACUGGCACACGUAAUCUUAAAUUAAUGAAGACUUGGCACACCACUUCUCAAAGGUUGCCAACCCCUGCUCCAGACUGUGGCUGUACCAUGUGGGAUAUAUCUAAGAAAAUUAAAAUACUUGCAUUUUCCUAAGAGAAUUUUACACU